GGAUGAGCCCGCGGCCUAUCAGCUUGUUGGUGGGGUAAUGGCCUACCAAGGCGUCGACGGGUAGCCGGCCUGAGAGGGCGACCGGCCACACUGGGACUGAGACACGGCCCAGACUCCUACGGGAGGCAGCAGUGGGGAAUAUUGCACAAUGGGCGAAAGCCUGAUGCAGCGACGCCACGUGAGGGAUGACGGCCUUCGGGUUGUAAACCUCUUUCAGCAGGGAAGAAGCGAGAGUGACGGUACCUGCAGAAGAAGCGCCGGCUAACUACGUGACAGCAGCCGCGGCCG
rnacentral:rRNA from 1 species